UACGUAGGGUGCAAGCGUUGUCCGGAAUUAUUGGGCCUAAAGCAUCCGUAGCCGGUUCUACAAGUCUUCCGUUAAAUCCACCUGCUUAACAGAUGGGCUGCGGAAGAUACUAUGGAGCUAGGAGGCGGGAGAGGCAAGCGGUACUCGAUGGGUAGGGGUAAAAUCCGUUGAUCCAUUGAAGACCACCAGUGGCGAAGGCGGCUUGCCAGAACGCGCUCGACGGUGAGGGAUGAAAGCUGGGGGAGCAAACCGG
rnacentral:rRNA from 1 species